rnacentral:rRNA from 1 species
GACGAACGCUGGCGGCGUGCUUAACACAUGCAAGUCGAACGGAAAGGCCCUGCUUUUGUGGGGUGCUCGAGUGGCGAACGGGUGAGUAACACGUGAGUAACCUGCCUUUGACUUUGGGAUAACUUCAGGAAACUGGGGCUAAUACCGGAUAGGAGCUCCUGCUGCAUGGUGGGGGUUGGAAAGUUUCGGCGGUUGGGGGUGGACUCGCGGCUUAUCAGCUUGUUGGUGGGGUAGUGGCUUACCAAGGCAUUGACGGGUAGCCGGCCUGAGGGGGUGACCGGCCACAUUGGGACUGAGAUACGGGCCAGUCUCCUAAGGGAGGCAGCAGUGGGGAAUAUUGCACAAUAGGCGGAAGCCUGAUGCAGCAACGCCGCGUGCGGGAUGACGGCCUUCGGGUUGUAAACCGCUUUCGCCUGUGACGAAGCGUGAGUGACGGUAAUGGGUAAAGAAGCACCGGCUAACUACGUG